GACGAACGCUGGCGGCGUGCUUAACACAUGCAAGUCGAACGGAAAGGCCCUGCUUUUGUGGGGUGCUCGAGUGGCGAACGGGUGAGUAACACGUGAGUAACCUGCCCUUGACUUUGGGAUAACUUCAGGAAACUGGGGCUAAUACCGGAUAGGAGCUCCUGCUGCAUGGUGGGGGUUGGAAAGUUUCGGCGGUUGGGGAUGGACUCGCGGCUUAUCAGCUUGUUGGUGGGGUAGUGGCUUACCAAGGCUUUGACGGGUAGCCGGCCUGAGAGGGUGACCGGCCUCAUUGGGACUGAGAUACGGCCCAGACUCCUACGGGAGGCAGCAGUGGGGAAUAUUGCACAAUGGGCGGAAGCCUGAUGCAGCAACGCCGCGUGCGGGAUGACGGCCUUCGGGUUGUAAACCGCUUUCGCCUGUGACGAAGCGUGAGUGACGGUAAUGGGUAAAGAAGCACCGGCUAACUACGUG
rnacentral:rRNA from 1 species